UUUUUUUCUAAAUAGAAAGAGCUAAUCAAUUCCCUGCAGCACUAGCAGACGCUGGCAGGCCACGGCACAAUGGAGGAUUCUCCACACGAGGUCUGGACGUUUUGUUUCUCCGGCCUGGCUUGGCCUGCCACUUGCAGGGCUCUUUGGACGUUCUGUUACGAAGCAUUCCGGUGUUUUGUGCAAAAGGUCCGGAGCGUUCUGUACGCGAGACCACCAGCCCUUUCGCCAUUUUGGUGCUGGCUGAUAUGUAAACAGAGUCCGAGAGAGGCCUGACCCAGACCAGGAGUAGCCCUGGAUUUGUUCCUUGUUGGUGGCAGGAGAAAUAAUUGCUUAGUACUGCUGACUACACUCAUGCACAACACUUUUAUAUCGCAGAUUUUUAAUUCUCAGGCAAGCCAGUGUUGUUUUUUAAGAGUGGAAUUGUUUAGAGGCCAAAAAUCUCGGGAGUCUUCACGCUCAGUCUCUCUGACUCUCCCUCCCUCUCUCAAGCACACACAUUCACAUCCCACAGAUCUUUCCUAUCUAUUGCAAGUAUAACCUAGGGCUUGUAAGCUGUAGGAGCAUACAAAAGUUUUGCUAUGGGGCAGUCUGCUACUCUUUCUCUGUUGCACUACUGUCAAACGUUGCAGCUAGCAGUGCAAUAAUGAAAGGGCGUCAGCCACCCCGGAGAGCAGCCGGAGAAGGCAGAAUUCAACCUGUAGGGUCAGGGGCAGUUUCCACACACUGUUGCCCUUUAGGACAUUUUCUAGGCAGCCCUCUCCACUGCUGCUAAAACAACAUCUUGACAAAUUUGGUAAUUUCUGAUUUUUUUUACUCAGGUGAGUUUGGGCUGUGUAGUUGGUGGAAAGGGCAGAAGGAUUUGUUUUGCAUAGCAGUUCUACAGCCCUGGUUGACAAAUUUGGUAAUUUCUGAUUUUUUUUACUCAGGUGAGUUUGGGCUGUGUAGUUGGUGGAAAGGGCAGAAGGAUUUGUUUUGCAUAGCAGUUCUACAGCCCUGGUUGAAUAGCAGUUCUACAGCCCUGGUUGACAAAUUUGCUGUCGUUAUCAACAUGGGAGGCAAUGCUCACUUCCUAAGCCCACUUAACAAGGAGGGAAGCAAUUUCAAAGGACUGUAUAAUUACAGCUUCACCUCUGAAGCUUUUGUGAUAUAAUUCUACCUUGAAAACAGAGCUGCCAUAAAUCCAGCCAGAGCAUGGAUGGGGAAUCGCAAACCAUUCUAGUCUCCUUGCAGGAAGGCUGAAAUUAUGAACAUGAACACAACAAGAAUGUUGCCAGCAGAAGAUGAACACUCCAUGGGGAAACCGACAGAGAACCGGGUGCCUCAUUCAAGCCAGUGCUCUUAAUGUUACGUCUAUUGCCAUGGCUUGACCUUACUCUCUGCAUACAAAUUCAUGCACAUUUGAGGCAAAUCUUCCCCUCUGCUUUCCCCCACAGUUGAAGACUUGGAUAUUUUUUAAAAAAAAACCUUAAAUAAAUGCUGAGAUUAUUUGAA